CCUACGGGGGGCAGCAGUGGGGAAUAUUGCACAAUGGGGGAAACCCUGAUGCAGCGACGCCGCGUGAGUGAAGAAGGAAUUCGUUAUGUAAAGCUCUUUCAGCAGGGACGAAAAUGACGGUACCUGAUUAAGAAUCCCCGGCUAACUACGUGCCAGCAGCCGCGGUAAUACGUAGGGGGCAAGCGUUAUCCGGAUUUACUGGGUGUAAUGGGAGCGUAGACGGCAGUGCAAGUCUGGAGGGAAAGGCGGGGGCUCAACCCCCGGACUGCUCUGGAAACUGUACGGCUUGAGUGCAGGAGAGGUAAGUGGAAUUCCUAGUGUAGCGGUGAAAUGCGUAGAUAUUAGGAGGAACACCAGUGGCGAAGGCGGCUUACUGGACUGUAACUGACGUUGAGGCUCGAAAGCGUGGGGAGCAAACAGGAUUAGAUACCCGGGUAGUC
rnacentral:rRNA from 1 species